UACGUAGGGAGCAAGCGUUAUCCGGAUUUAUUGGGUGUAAAGGGUGCGUAGACGGGAAUUUAAGUUAGUUGUGAAAUCCCUCGGCUUAACUGAGGAACUGCAACUAAAACUGAAUUUCUUGAGUGCGGGAGAGGAAAGUGGAAUUCCUAGUGUAGCGGUGAAAUGCGUAGAUAUUAGGAGGAACACCAGUGGCGAAGGCGACUUUCUGGACCGUAACUGACGUUGAGGCUCGAAAGCGUGGGGAGCAAACAGG
rnacentral:rRNA from 1 species